rnacentral:lncRNA from 1 species
GAGAGAAAGGCAUCUCAGUGGAGGAGAGAGAAAGGCAUCGCAGUGGAGGAGAGAGAAAGGCAUCACAGUGGAGGAGAGGAGAGAGUAAGGCAUCCCAGUGGAGGAGAGGAGAGAGAAGGGCAUCGCAGGGGAGGAGGAGAGAGAAGGGCAUCGCAGUGGGGGGAGGAGAGAGAAAGGCAUCGCAGUGGGGGACAGGAGAGAGAAGGGCAUCGCAGUGGGGGGGAGGAGAGAGAAGGGCAUCGCAGUGGGGGUGAGGAGAGAGAAAGGCAUCGCAGUGGGGGGGAGGAGAGAGAAGGGCAUCGCAGUGGGGGGGAGGAGAGAGAAGGGCAUCGCAGUGGGGGGGAGGAGAGAGAAAGGCAUCGCAGUGGGGGGGAGGAGAGAGAAGGCCAUCGCAGUGGGGGGGAGGAGAGAGAAGGCAAUCGCAGUGGGGGGGAGGAGGGAGAAGGGCAUCGCAGUGGAGGAGAGAGAAGGGCAUUGCAGUGGAGGAGAGAGAAAGGCAUCGCAGUGGAGGAGAGAGAAAGGCAUUACAGUGCAGGAGAGAGAAAGGCAUCACAGUGGAGGAGAGGAGAGAGAAAGGCAUCGCAGUGGAGGAGAGGAGAGAGAAGGGCAUCGCAGGGGAGGAAGAGAGAGAAGGGCAUCGCAGUGGAGUGGAGGAGCGAGAAGGCUGUCGCAGUGGGGGGGGGGGGGGAGAGAAGGGCAUCGCAGUGGGGGGGAGGAGAGAGAAGGGCAUCGCAGUGGGGGGGUGGAGAGAGAAGGCUAUCGCAGUGGGGGGGAGGAGAGAGAAGGGCAUCGCAGUGGGGGGGAGGAGAGAGAAGGGCAUCGCAGUGGGGGGGUGGAGAGAGAAGGGCAUCGCAGUGGGGGGGAGGAGAGAGAAGGGCAUCGCAGUGGGGGGGAGGAGAGAGAAGGCCAUCGCAGUGGGGGGGAGGAGAGAGAAGGCCAUCGCAGUGGGGGGGAGGAGAGAGAAGGGCAUCGCAGUGGAGGAGAGAGAAGGGCAUCGCAGUGGAGGAGAGAGAAAGGCAUCGCAGUGGAGGAGAGAGAAAGGCAUCGCAGUGGAGGAGAGAGAAAGGCAUCAUAGUGGAGGAGAGAGAAAGGCAUCACAGUGGAGGAGAGGAGAGAGAAAGGCAUCGCAGUGGAGGAGAGGAGGGAGAAGGGCAUCGCAGGGGAGGAGAGGAGAGAGAAGGGCAUUGCAGUGGAGGAGAGGAGAGAGAAGGGCAUCGCAGGGGAGGAAGAGGGAGAAGGGCAUCGCAGUGGAGGGGAGGAGCGAGAAGGCUAUCGCAGUGGGGGGAGGAGAGAGAAGGGCAUCGCAGUGGGGGGGAGGAGAGAGAAGGGCAUCGCAGUGGGGGGGUGGAGAGAGAAGGGCAUCGCAGUGGGGGGAAGGAGAGAGAAGGGCAUCGCAGUGGGGGGGAGGAGAGAGAAGGGCAUCUCAGUGGGGGGGUGGAGAGAGAAGGGCAUUGCAGUGGAGGAGAGAGAAAGGCAUUAAAGUGGAGGAGAGAGAAAGGCAUCACAGUGGAGGAGAGAGAAAGGCAUCACAGUGGAGGAGAGGAGCGAGAAGGGCAUCGCAGUGGGGGGGUGGAGAGAGAAGGGCAUCGCAGUGGGGGGGAGGAGAGAGAAGGGCAUCGCAGUGGGGGGGAGGAGAGAGAAGGCCAUCGCAGUGGGGGGGGAGGAGAGAGAAGGCCAUCGCAGUGGAGGGGAGGAGAGAAAAGGGCAUCGCAGUGGAGGAGAGAGAAGGGCAUCGCAGUGGAGGAGAGAGAAAGGCAUCAUAGUGGAGGAGAGGAGAGAGAAAGGCAUCGCAGGGGAGGAGAGGAGAGAGAAGGGCAUCGCAGGGGAGGAGAGGAGAGAGAAGGGCAUCGCAGUGGAGGAGAGGAGAGAGAAGGGCAUCGCAGGGGAGGAAGAGAGAGAAGGGCAUCGCAGUGGAGGGGAGGAGCGAGAAGGCUAUCGCAGUGGGGGGGAGGAGAGAGAAGGGCAUCGCAGUGGGGGGGAGGAGAGAGAAGGGCAUCGCAGUGGGGGGGUGGAGAGAGAAGGGCAUCGCAGUGGGGGGUAGGAGAGAGAAGGGUAUCGCAGUGGGGGGGAGGAGAGAGAAGGGCAUCUCAGUGGGGGGGUGGAGAGAGAAGGGCAUCGCAGUGGAGGAAAGAGAAAGGCAUUGCAGUGGAGGAGAGAGAAAGGCAUCACAGUGGAGGAGAGAGAAAGGCAUCACAGUGGAGGAGAGGAGCGAGAAGGGCAUUGCAGUGGGGGGAGGAGAGAGAAGGGCAUCGCAGUGGGGGGAAGGAGAGAGAAGGGCAUCGCAGUGGGGGGGAGGAGAGAACGGCAUCGCAGUGGGGGGGGAGAGAGAAGGGCAUCGCAGUGGGGGGGAGUAGAGAGAAGGGCAUCGCAGUGGGGGACAGGAGAGAGAAGGGCAUCGCAGUGGGGGGGAGGAGAGAGAAGGGCAUCGCAGUGGGGGAGAGAGAAAGGCAACGCAGUGGAGGAGAGAGAAAGGCAUCGCAGUGGAGGAGAGAGAAAGGCAUCACAGUGGAGGAGAGGAGAGAGAAAGGAUUCGCAGUGGAGGAGAGGAGAGAGAAGGGCAUCGCAGUGGGGGGGAGGAGAGAGAAGGUCAUCGCAGUGGGGGGGAGGAGAGAGAAAGGCAUCGCAGUAUGGGACAGGAGAGAGAAAGGCAUCGCAGUGGGGGGGAGGAGAGAGAAAGGCAUCACAGUGGGGGACAGGAGAGAGAAGGGCAUCACAGUGGGGGACAGGAGAGAGAAAGGCAUCACAAGUACAGAUCCCCCCACCCAGUCGAAUCGGGGACCUGAACCAGUGACCUCUUGGCCACAGGUUCAAGCUCACAAACGUCAGCCCACCAACCAUCCAAGACUUUACUUCUUGUCAAAAGAGUUUGAAACUGUUUACAGUGCAUUUGGAAAGUAUUCAAACCCCUUGACUUAAUCUAUAUUUUGUUACGUUACAGCCUUAUUCUAAAAUGUAUUAAAUUGUUUUUCUCCCUCAUUAAUCUACACACAAUAUCCAAUAAUGAUGAAGAAAAAACAUAUAAAUAUUUUUAAAAUAAUGUAUAAACAUU